rnacentral:rRNA from 1 species
UGGGGAAUCUUGCACAAUGGGGGCAACCCUGAUGCAGCGACGCCGCGUGAGCGAUGAAGCCCUUCGGGGCGUAAAGCUCUUUCGACCGGAACGAUAAUGACGGUACCGGGAGAAGAAGCUGCGGCUAACUACGUGCCAGCAGCCGCGGUAAUACGUAGGCAGCAAGCGUUGUUCGGAGUUACUGGGCGUAAAGAGUGCGUAGGCGGUUUUCUAAGUUCGGAGUGAAAUCUCCCGGCUUAACUGGGAGGGUGCGCCGAAGACUGGGAAGCUGGAGUGUGGGAAAGGCAGGCGGAAUUCCUGGUGUAGCGGUGAAAUGCGUAGAUAUCAGGAGGAACACCGGCGGUGUAGACGGCUUGCUAGACCAUAACUGACGCUGAGGCACGAAAGCGUGGGUAGCAAACA